UAAUACGUAGGGUGCAAGCGUUAAUCGGAAUUACUGGGCGUAAAGGGUGCGCAGGCGGUUUUGUAAGUCAGAUGUGAAAUCCCCGGGCUUAACCUGGGAACUGCGUUUGAAACUGCAAGGCUAGAGUGUGGCAGAGGGAGGCGGAAUUCCAUGUGUAGCAGUGAAAUGCGUAGAGAUAUGGAAGAACAUCGAUGGCGAAGGCAGCCUCCUGGGUUAACACUGACGCUCAGGCACGAAAGCGUGGGGAGCAAACAGGAUUAGAUACCCUGGUAGUCCACGCCCUAAACUAUGUCAACUAGUUGUUGGACCUUAACAGGUUUGGUAACGUAGCUAACGCGUGAAGUUGACCGCCUGGGGAGUACGGUCGCAAGAUUAAAACUCAAAUGAAUUGACGG
rnacentral:rRNA from 1 species